GUGGAAAUUGGUGUUAAUCUAUUAAAUUUGGAACAAAAUUCCUGCCACCCCUGUUGUCUUACUUGCUUAAUUACUAACUUUUUAACAGCUUGAACUCUUUUAAAAUUUAUGUAAUUAUCGAGAGUUGGAUUUUGUUUAAACCUAAGGUAAGCCGCUUUACUAUCAUUGACAGCUGUCGCACACCUGUUAUUCCACCAAGGUACUGCAAUAUGUUUGUGCCUCUUUGAAGUAUUUGCACCGCUAUUUGAUAAGUUCCUACGUGGAACGGAACGUUCCACAGCUGUCAAAAUAAUUUUACAGAAUCUAUUGUAAUUGUUUAAGGGUUCAUUGACAUCAUACUCGAAAUCCAAAAGUAAUUGAUUAACAGUUUCAGAAUAAAGAUCCCAAUUAACGAGACAUGCUGCAACGCUCAGAAUUCUUACAGAAUUUAGCUAAAUGUCCAUACCUCAAGCACCGGUAGCAUUGUUUAACUGGUGGUAUAUAUGGAGUGACAUUGUGGCGCCAACCUCCAAUAUCCAGAUAUUCAGGAGGAGAGUGAGAGCAAGUCUCUGGAUCCAAUGGUUUUCUGACUAUCUGAGGAUUCUACAAAGACAACAAAUUCUGUCCCAGGGGAUUCCUCGGGAUAUCUUCUAAUAUAAUCUGUGACGUAGUAAGGUUUAUACUUAUCGGCCUUAUCAAUUUCAGAUUCUGAGUCAGUAGAAGUAUCUUCCGAAUAUAUAUCCUUGUCAUUACAAGGUUCAUGGUCUACAUCACCUGAAUCGUCAUCUUUUUUUUUCCUUUUUCUACAACUGCGCUUCCCCAUGAAUGCUAAUUAUAUUACUGUCGCUGAAUUUAGUGAAAAUAUAAUAUUUUAUUAAAUAAUAAGAAUUGAUAGAGAUAGUUUUAAUAAAUUAAUAAAAAAAAUUUAAAAAA